rnacentral:rRNA from 1 species
GCAACGACGAAAACCUUACCUACCCUUGACAUGUCCGGAAUCCCGAAGAGAUUUGGGAGUGCUCGCAAGAGAGCCGGAACACAGGUGCUGCAUGGCUGUCGUCAGCUCGUGUCGUGAGAUGUUGGGUUAAGUCCCGCAACGAGCGCAACCCUUGUCAUUAGUUGCCAUCAUUUGGUUGGGCACUCUAAUGAGACUGCCGGUGACAAACCGGAGGAAGGUGGGGAUGACGUCAAGUCCUCAUGGCCCUUAUGGGUAGGGCUUCACACGUCAUACAAUGGUCGGUACAGAGGGUUGCCAACCCGCGAGGGGGAGCUAAUCCCACAAAGCCGAUCGUAGUCCGGAUCGCAGUCUGCAACUCGACUGCGUGAAGUCGGAAUCGCUAGUAAUCGUGGAUCAGCAUGUCACGGUGAAUACGUUCCCGGGUCUU